rnacentral:rRNA from 1 species
UACAUAGGGGUCAAGCGUUGUCCGGAUUUACUGGGCGUAAAGGGCUCGUAGGCGGUAAGAUAAGUCAGAAUUAAAAGGCAGAAGCUUAACUUUUGUUCGGUUCUGAGACUGUCUUACUUGAGAUUGGGAGAGGAAGAUGGAAUUAACAGUGUAGCGGUGAAAUGCGUAGAUAUUGUUAAGAACACCCGUGGCGAAGGCGGUCUUCUGGCCCAAAUCUGACGCUGAGGAGCGAAAGCGUGGGGAGCAAACAGGAUUAGAUACCCUGGUAGUCCACGCUGUAAACGAUGUACAUUAGGUAUGGGAGGUAUCGACCCCUUCUGUGCCGCAGCUAACGCGUUAAAUGUACCGCCUGGGGAGUACGGUCGCAAGAUUAAA